GACGAACGCUGGCGGCGUGCUUAACACAUGCAAGUGGGACGAAGGUUCUUGUCGGAAGGUUUCGGCUGGAAGAUAAGGAUACUGAGUCGCGGACGGGUGAGUAAUGCGUGAGAACCUGUCUCAAAGAGGGGGACAGCCCCGGGAAACCGGGAUUAAUACCCCAUAUGCCUAAGGGUGAAACGGAGCAAUCCGCUUUGAGAGGGGCUCGCGUCCUAUCAGCUAGUUGGUGAGGUAAUGGCUCACCAAGGCGAAGACGGGUAGCCGGACUGAGAGGUUGGACGGCCACAUUGGAACUGAGAUACGGUCCAGACUCCUACGGGAGGCAGCAGUGGGGAAUAUUGGGCAAUGGGCGCAAGCCUGACCCAGCGACGCCGCGUGAGGGAAGACGGUCUUCGGAUUGUAAACCUCUGUUGCAGGGGAAGAAUAAAGUGACGGUACCCUGCGAGGAAGCCCCGGCAAACUACGUG
rnacentral:rRNA from 1 species